GGGAGUGUAACUUCAUGGUAGAGUAUUUGUCUAGUAUGCUUAUAGCCCGGGGUUUGAUCCCCAGCACUGCCC
rnacentral:tRNA from 1 species